rnacentral:rRNA from 1 species
GAUGAACGCUGGCGGCGUGCCUAAUACAUGCAAGUCGAGCGAACAGACGAGGACUUUGCUCCUCUGACUAUCGCGGCGCGCGUGUGAGUAACAUGUGGAACACCUCUCUAUGAGACUGAGAUCACUUCGGGAACCCGGCGAUAACACCGGAAAAUAUAUUGAAUCGCAUGGUUCAACAGUGAAAGACGGUUUUCCUGUAACUUCUAGAUGGAUCCGCGCCGCAUUAGCUAGUUGGUAAGGUAACGGCUUACCAAGGCAACGAUGCGUAGCCGACCUGAGAGGGUGAUCGGCCACACUGGAACUGAGACACGGUCCAGACUCCUACGGGAGGCAGCAGUAGGGAAUCUUCCGCAAUGGGCGAAAGCCUGACGGAGCAACGCCGCGUGAGUGAUGAAGGUCUUCGGAUCGUAAAACUCUGUUAUUAGGGAAGAACAAAUGUGUAAGUAACUAUGCACGUCUUGACGGUACCUAAUCAGAAAGCCACGGCUAACUACGUG